rnacentral:rRNA from 1 species
GAUGAACGCUGGCGGCGUGCCUAAUACAUGCAAGUCGAGCGAACGGACGAGAAGCUUGCUUCUCUGAUGUUAGCGGCGGACGGGUGAGUAACACGUGGAUAACCUACCUAUAAGACUGGGAUAACUUCGUGAAACCGGAGCUAAUACCGGAUAAUAUUUUGAACCGCAUGGUUCAAAAGUGAAUGACGGUCUUGCUGUCUCUUAUAGAUGGAUCCGCGCUGCAUUAGCUAGUUGGUAAGGUAACGGCUUACCAAGGCAACGAUGCAUAGCCGACCUGAGAGGGUGAUCGGCCACACUGGAACUGAGACACGGUCCAGACUCCUACGGGAGGCAGCAGUAGGGAAUCUUCCGCAAAGGGCGAAAGCCUGACGGAGCAACGCCGCGUGAGUGAUGAAGGUCUUCGGAUCGUAAAACUCUGUUAUUAGGGAAGAACAUAUGUGUAAGUAACUGUGCACAUCUUGACGGUACCUAAUCAGAAAGCCACGGCUAACUACGUG